AUGCUUUUCAUUCUAACGAUGGAGCCCCUUCAAAGGUUGUUCGAGGUGGCUAUGGCUAGAGGUCUGGUGUCACCCCUGGCGCGUGUUGGCAUGAGGAAACGUCUCUCUAUCUUUGCUGAUGACGUGGUGCUAUUUAUCAAGCCAAAUCCAAUGGACCUUGAGGUAUGCAAGUCCCUGUUUGAGAUCUUUGGGGAGGCAUCAGGGCUGAGAAUCAACAUGAGCAAAUCCGCGGCCCUACCUAUCAGGUGCUCUGAGGAGGAGAUUGCAAUGGCAUGCAAUGAGUUGCAAUGCCCCUUGGGAUCGUUCCCGAUCAAGUAUCUUGGGCUACCCCUAUCGCUAAGGAAGCAAACCGCAACACAGUUAAAAAUUUUGGUGGAUCACAUGGCAAAUCAGCUACCGAAAUGGAGAGCAGCUUUGAUGCCCAAGAGCGGGCGACUAACUCUUGUGCAGUCUGUCAUGUGUGCAAUGCCAAUCCAUGCUAUGAUGGCUUUGGACCUACCUGCAAAAACUAUAUCGGCAAUGAACAAGAUUUGCCGAGGUUUCUUAUGGUGCCGAAGAGCUGAGGCAAACGGUUGUAACUGUGUUGUUGCAUGGGAUAUGGUUUGUACGCCGAAGUGGGCAGGUGGAUUGGGGCUGCCAAACCUCAUAUGGAUGAAUAUUGCCAUGCAAGCCCGCUGGCCGUGGCUCAUGAGGACGGAUGAGUCAAGACCACGGAAGGAAUUCAUAGUCAAAGUCCCGGAAGAAGCACAAAUGCUAUGUCAAGCAGCCAUGAGGAGCACUGUGCGGUCUGGACGAACAACACGCUUUUGGGAGGGCCGAUGGCUUCAUGGACAAAGAAUACAGGAGUUGGCGCCGCGAGUCUAUGAAUUGGUGCACCCCCGCACUCGCAACCUGAGGAUGGUCAGUACGGCCAUGCAGGACGGCUCUUGGGCGAUGGACAUCAGCCCCAACCUUGAACCGGAAACCUUACACCAGUUUCUAGCGCUAUGGCAACUGCUCAAUGGUUGGGAGCUUUCUGAUGACGAGCCGGAUGAGAUAACAUGGUCGUGGGAGACAAAUGGGCAGUUCUCUGUGAAAUCAGCUUAUGCGACAGCUUUCUGGGGCCGGGAGGUGGUCCAAACAGCGGACCUGACAUGGAAAUCACGUGCUCCGAUGAAAUGCAGGUUUUUCACAUGGCUAGCCAUGAAGAAUCGAUGCUGGACCUCGGAUCGACUAGCACGCAGAGGCCUACCCCAUCAGGACGCAUGCCCUUUCUGUGAUCAAGAGGAGGAAACGAUCGACCAUGUUCUACUCGCAUGUGUUUUUGCUCGCACAGUGUGGGCAUCGAUCUUCGUCGCGUUAGGGACACCAAGUUGGAUUCAUACUGCCCAAGAAACGCUGGUGGAGUGGGCCGUUGACAAGCGUGGUUCAAACAACGUCAACACGAAGGACCUUCGCACCAUCUUUGCGCUUACUUGGUGGGAGUUGUGGAAGCAUAGGAAUGCCAUUGUCUUCGAGGGCGCGCGUCCUUCGGUUGAGCAGUUACUAAGAAGCAUGUGCGCGGAGGGUUCCUCUUGGUCAACCGCUGGGUUACUACGAGGAGAUGCAAUGCCUUUCGUUGCUAGGUAG
rnacentral:rRNA from 1 species